UACGUAGGGUGCGAGCGUUAAUCGGAAUUACUGGGCGUAAAGCGCACGUAGGUGGCGACGUAAGUCGGGUGUGAAAGCCCCGGGCUCAACCUGGGAAUUGCAUUCGAGACUGCAUUGCUGGAGUACGGAAGAGGAGGGCGGAAUUCCCGGUGUAGCGGUGAAAUGCGCAGAUAUCAGGAGGAACACCAAUUGCGAAGGCAGCUCGCUGGGACGUAACUGACGCUGAGACGCGAAAGCGUGGGGAGCAAACAGG
rnacentral:rRNA from 1 species